rnacentral:rRNA from 1 species
ACUGAGGGUCCAAGCGUUAAUCGGAAUUACUGGGCGUAAAGCGAGUGUAGGCGGCUUCGUAAGUCGGAUGUGAAAGCCCCGGGCUUAACCUGGGAAUUGCAUUCGAUACUGCGCGGCUAGAGUUUGGUAGAGGGAAGUGGAAUUCCAGGUGUAGCGGUGAAAUGCGUAGAGAUCUGGAGGAACAUCAGUGGCGAAGGCGGCUUCCUGGAUCAAAACUGACGCUGAGGCUCGAAAGCGUGGGGAGCAAACAGG